GAUCUAGCUUGCUAGAUUGAUGGCGAGUGGCGAACGGGUGAGUAAUACAUCGGAACGUGCCCUGUAGUGGGGGAUAACUAGUCGAAAGAUUAGCUAAUACCGCAUACGACCUGAGGGUGAAAGUGGGGGACCGCAAGGCCUCAUGCUAUAGGAGCGGCCGAUGUCUGAUUAGCUAGUUGGUGGGGUAAAGGCCCACCAAGGCGACGAUCAGUAGCUGGUCUGAGAGGACGAUCAGCCACACUGGGACUGAGACACGGCCCAGACUCCUACGGGAGGCAGCAGUGGGGAAUUUUGGACAAUGGGGGCAACCCUGAUCCAGCAAUGCCGCGUGUGUGAAGAAGGCCUUCGGGUUGUAAAGCACUUUUGUCCGGAAAGAAAUCGCACUUACUAAUACUAGGUGUGGAUGACGGUACCGGAAGAAUAAGGACCGGCUAACUACGUGCCAGCAGCCGCGGUAAUACGUAGGGUCCAAGCGUUAAUCGGAAUUACUGGGCGUAAAGCGUGCGCAGGCGGUUGUGCAAGACCGAUGUGAAAUCCCCGGGCUUAACCUGGGAAUUGCAUUGGUGACUGCACGGCUAGAGUGUGUCAGAGGGGGGUAGAAUUCCACGUGUAGCAGUGAAAUGCGUAGAGAUGUGGAGGAAUACCGAUGGCGAAGGCAGCCCCCUGGGAUAACACUGACGCUCAUGCACGAAAGCGUGGGGAGCAAACAGGAUUAGAUACCCUGGUAGUCCACGCCCUAAACGAUGUCAACUAGUUGUUGGGGAUUCAUUUCCUUAGUAACGUAGCUAACGCGUGAAGUUGACCGCCUGGGGAGUACGGUCGCAAGAUUAAAACUCAAAGGAAUUGACGGGGACCCGCACAAGCGGUGGAUGAUGUGGAUUAAUUCGAUGCAACGCGAAAAACCUUACCUACCCUUGACAUGCCACUAACGAAGCAGAGAUGCAUUAGGUGCUCGAAAGAGAAAGUGGACACAGGUGCUGCAUGGCUUGUCGUCAGCUCGUGGCCGUGAGAUGUUGGGGUUAA
rnacentral:rRNA from 1 species